GGGGCCGGAGGGCGCGGCGCGAUGAGUCGAGAAACGGCCGGCGGGCACGGCGCGAUGAGUCGAGAAACGAUGGUUCGAAGCAGAAUCGACGGAGCGGAAUCCACGCGAGUUUAUAGACAUUUAUUCUUCAGUUUUUGGAUAAUUAUUCCAGGUAAAUAAUUGUCAUUAAAUUUUUUUUAUGAUAUUGGUUAUAUUUAAUUCACUGAUUAAAGGGUUCCGUUUUUUGAAUAAUUGCAAAAUUAUUA
rnacentral:lncRNA from 1 species